GUGUCAGCAGCCGCGGUAAUACGUAGGGUGCGAGCGUUGUCCGGAAUUACUGGGCGUAAAGAGCUCGUAGGCGGUUUGUCGCGUCGUCUGUGAAAUUCUGCAGCUUAACUGCAGGCGAUACGGGCAGACUUGAGUACUACAGGGGAGACUGGAAUUCCUGGUGUAGCGGUGAAAUGCGCAGAUAUCAGGAGGAACACCGGUGGCGAAGGCGGGUCUCUGGGUAGUUACUGACGCUGAGGAGCGAAAGCGUGGGGAGCAAACAGGAUUAGAUACCCUGGUAGUCCACGCCGUAAACGGUGGGUACUAGGUGUGGGUUCCAUUUCACGGGAUCCGUGCCGUAGCUAACGCAUUAAGUACCCCGCCUGGGGAGUACGGCCGCAAGGCUAAAACUUAAAGGAAUUGGCGG
rnacentral:rRNA from 1 species